GCGCCCGUAGCUCAGAUGGAUAGAGCGAGGGACUCCUAAGCCCUAGGUCACCUGUUCGACUCAGGUCGGGCGCA
rnacentral:tRNA from 2 species